rnacentral:rRNA from 1 species
ACGGGAGGCAGCAGUGGGGAAUAUUGGACAAUGGGGGAAACCCUGAUCCAGCGACGCCGCGUGAGUGAAGAAGUAUUUCGGUAUGUAAAGCUCUAUCAGCAGGGACGAUAAUGACGGUACCUGACUAAGAAGCCCCGGCUAACUACGUGCCAGCAGCCGCGGUAAUACGUAGGGGGCAAGCGUUAUCCGGAUUUACUGGGUGUAAAGGGAGCGUAGGUGGCCAUGCAAGUCAGAUGUGAAAACCCGGGGCUCAACCCCGUGACUGCAUUUGAAACUGCGUGGCUGGAGUACAGGAGAGGUAAGCGGAAUUCCUAGUGGAGCGGUGAAAUGCGUAGAUAUUAGGAGGAACACCAGUGGCGAAAGCGGCUUACUGGACUGAAACUGACACUGAGGCUCGAAAGCGUGGGGAGCAAACAGGAUUAGAUACCCUGGUA